ensembl:lncRNA
GGCCCCCCGACUUCGCCGCCGCUGGUCGGGGUUGUCUGGACUCAAAGAGGCUGAAGGAAAAGCGGCGGAGCGGUCGACUCUAGACUGGGGUUUCCUGCCACAGCAGCGGGAUUGUCACAAAACAGCCUUUCACUCUUCGAGGGGCCUUGUAUUGCUCCGUUUUCAGAGCUGUGAAGGCGUCUGGUCAGCAGCUCAUGGAACAGGAACUUUUCUGCAUGGAAAUACUGAAGAGAAACAGAAAACCGGAGCUUGAAUUGACUGAACCUGAAGUGGAAUAAAUGGAUUACCCUCCUUUUGGAAAAUUGUUGCCAUGGAACUAGGUAGAAUGAAAUGAUGGUUGACGGAAAAAACAAAGGUAAGGCGGCUAAAUGCUGAAGACGCAGGAAGGCAUCGAGAAGAACCUGAACACAUUCGAAGAAAAAACAGUUACUCUAUAGGGACCAAAUACUUCUACAGUCCAAAUGAAUGCAUGCCGUAGCAGAAAAAAUAGACAACAGUAUUCAAAAGGGGACAACCAAGAAAAAGAACAACUGAAAUAGUGUUACACUCUCAUCUAAGAGCCGAUUAGAAUAUCAAUGGAGUGUUCACCUCUGGAAGCGUUGAGUGAGGGUCUGUAUUCGGACCUGUUGAUUCUGUUACUGGAGUUUCGGUCUCACACAGGUGUGAGUCAGGUCCCGGCAAACUUACACAUGUUGACGAACUGAAGGAUUGCUGCGACGGAGCACAGUCUCAAUGGUUUUAUUGAGAUUUUGUUUUUCACAAGAUGCUAUUGGAUCAGCACUCGGUUUAAUCCUAAAAUAGCUCUGCUUGCUCGAGCUGUCGUUAUAGUGGAGUGUAUACAUGUUAAGACAUUUAAGGUUUAAAGUCUCACUCGGUGAUGUGGCAGUCGUCCAUGAUAUUGCCUGCACAGUGCCAAACUGCUUCAGCUUCGUGGGAAUGACUGCUCAUUUUUAAUCUUGUAUAUUUUGGAAGUAGAAAUCUGCUUCACCACAUCUCUGUAUCUUUUUUCUCUCUCUCUUUUUUUGUGAGAAAAAAAGUCAUUUUUUAAGUCGCUGCCAUUAAAUGAACCUGAAUUUGAGUGGAAACCUUCAAGAUCACAUCGAAAAAGAAGAUUUUUGCAAUUUUCCCUUUUCCUUUGUUGCUCAAAUCGU